CCCAUGAGUUGUACUUGUAAUGAACUAUAAAGAUUUUUGUUUCUAAAUUUUUUUUAAAAAAAAAUAAAAUCAAUAUUCACACUUUUACUCAACCAUUAGAUUUGUAUUAAAUACAACUUGAAAUGAAUAGUUUGAAACUUUCAAUUUAUAUCUACAUGGAUUUAUUAUGAGUAGCAUAAAACAUCCAGCCUCCCCCAUCCAUCCACUUAAGCUGCAAUUGAAAGUUGCAGUCCAUCUAAAUAUUUAUUGCGGC
rnacentral:lncRNA from 1 species